CCGCCGGUGUUGUUGUGAGAAGUUCAUUAAACCUUAUCAUUUAGAGGAAGGAGAAGUCGUAACAAGGUUUCCGUAGGUGAACCUGCGGAAGGAUCAUUGAACACACGAUCUCGGAAAAAACCCUGCGAAUCGUUUUGGUAUCCCGAGGGAUCGUGCUGGGAGGCACGAUCGUCGGUCCCGGAGUCGGGGAUUCAUGCGCUCCGCCUUGAAUCCGCCUGUUGGUGCGUGCUGGGAAGAAUACGUCUCCGGAGUACCGUCGGAACACUCUCCGGCAUGCGCGGUCCCGUGUUUGCUUGCGUGGUCGGGGGGAUCCUGGAUCCUUCGGACCCUGCUUGCUGCUCUCACGAAGAUCGAUAGUGCGUUCCCCUCCUCCGAGGGGGUUGGGGGGAAGUCUUUUCGGAGACUCUCCUCUCUCCCUUCGGGGCCCCCUUUUUUCCACUAGGAACCUGGUGAAACGAGUUUUGAUGGACUGAGAUGGGCGGAGGGGGAUCCGCAUCCGUCUUGGAUGCGGAUUCCCCGAGUCCCAAGGAAAGCGAGAAAACGCAAAUGACUCUCAGCAACGGAUAUCUUGGCUCUUGCAACGAUGAAGAACGCAGCGAAAUGCGAUACCUAGUGUGAAUUGCAGAAUUCCGCGAAUCAUCGAGUUUUUGAACGCAAGUUGCGCCCGAGGCUCGCUCCGAGGGCAUGCCUGCCUGAGCGUCCGGUCCGACCCACCCACAAGUCUCUCCUCCUCCUCCUCUAACCGAGGAGGAGGAUCCAGGAGAGACCAGAGUGUGCGUGUGGAAUUGGUCGUCCGGGAACCCGAUCUUCUCCCUUGCGGAGAUGGUCGAAGGAUUCGCGGUUGGCUGAAAAAUGGGAGCCGUCCGUCAAGCGCGCGCAGUGGGCAAGGGUGCGUCGCGAGAAGGUGCCGUCCUCCCUCGUCGUCGAGACGGGAGUCGGACGUUUGUAACAAAAGCGAUGCGCCUCCCCUGCGGAGUUCGAACUUGGGGGACUGGCGGAAUACAAAACAUGGGAACGGGAAGGCUCGGAGACGUCUUGACAGCGCCUCCCUUGCCUAAUCGGCGAGGGGGGCGUGUUGGGAGAUGCCUGCCGGCCCGAACGUGAUGUUGUUCGGACCUCAGAUCAGACAAGACCACCCGCUGAGUUUAAGCAUAUCACUAAGCGGAGGAGAAGAAACUAACAAGG
rnacentral:rRNA from 1 species